AAUCCUUUUGUUUUCACAGACAAAUUUUUGGUCUUUGAUAGUUUGGGGCACGUAUUGGAAAAAUACAUUUAGCACAUGUUGGCAGAAUGUUUUCACAGUACAAUAAAUGGGAGAUAAAGCUAAGUCUUUUUACUAAUAUUUGAAAAACUAAAUAUCUAUAAAAACAUAAUUAGAGGCUUAAGAUGGAAGACAAGUGUAUUGCGUAAUUGUCUACAAUGGUUUGUGUUAAGAAACCUUAUUAUAUGUUUUUAAUAAAUGAAUUAUUGCAGAACCAAUUUCAAAAUUAUAUAUAAAACAAAUUACUUGAGAUGAAAACACAUUUGACUAAAGCCAUGUUAUCAACUGACUUGUGAUCUAAAGCUUUUAACCAUAAUUAUCAAGUGGGUUGUAGUUAAUAUCUAAAAAAUCUAGUUCUGAUAGCCUGUUUGUCAAGCAUACUUUAUUUUGUUGGCUUUCUUAGUUGUGAUUCAACAUAAUUAGUACAAAUGAGACAUUAGCCAAUAAGUCCCCGUUUACGUCUAACUUUUAGCAAAUUGAGCUAGCUUAUUUACUGAAAAUCUGAUUAUAGU
rnacentral:lncRNA from 1 species